rnacentral:tRNA from 1 species
GGUCCUGUAGCUUAGCCUGGUGGAGCGCUGCUCUUAUAAAGCAGAGGUCCCGGGUUCAAAUCCCGGCAGGACCA